CGUGCCAACGCUGUGUAUGUAUGCAAAGUCUGUGCUAAGCUACACUUGACUCGAUAUUUAUCAGGAAGGAUGUAAUCAUGUGAUGUGAUGAUGUCAUCUUUCUGCAGGUCUCUUUUUUCAAGCAGAAGCAGUGACAUCACUGACCUACUCUGACAUCAGGUUGGAGACAAAUACACCACAGGUUGAGAUUACACCUGAGGUCAGCGAGGAUGGGAGCAUAUUCAGGUUGCGCUGCCAGCAGCACGGUGUGUUCAGGUGCAGUGUGACAGGCCUGGUGUUGGAGGGAUUUGGUGACGUGGUGUAUGAGAUGGUUCCCUGGGAUGUGGACUUCCUGUCCUCUAAAGGGCUGCAGGUGGCAGGAGCUCUGUUCAGGUUCCACCUGCUGACUGGGAGCUUCCAGCGACUCCACCUGCCGCAUUGCCAGCUGCUCUCAGAUGGUGGUCAGCACUUCCUAUCUGUAGCUCAUGUCACUGGGGACUGUGUGGACUUUAUCACUCCAGGUCAGGUGACCGAUAGUCAUGUGACAGUUGAUAUCUCGGGCUUCUCGUGCUUUGGUCUGGUGACCCCAGCGCCCAGUGACCAGAUUGCUGGCCUGGUGUUGAUCUUCUCUCAACCCACAAAUUCCACACUGUUUGUCCUGCUGCUGCCCAGGAAUGUCUGCCUCACUCAGGUGAGAAAGGAGUGGAAGCGGCGGAUUGGGGCUGAGUACGUCGAAGCUAUUCCUGACUGCGAACUGAUCCCAAAU
ensembl:lncRNA